UUCGAAUUGGUGUAGUGGUUAACAUUUGACGCUCUCAGCAUGGUCAUCGUGACGAUGAUCUGGUGCGGUGCCGUCAAGCCCGGGGUUCGAUUCCCCGAUUCGAAG
rnacentral:tRNA from 1 species